rnacentral:rRNA from 1 species
AGUCGAGCGGAAGGCUCCUUCGGGGGUACUCGAGCGGCGAACGGGUGAGUAACACGUGAGUAAUCUGCCCUCCACUCUGGGAUAACGUUCAGAAAUGGGUGCUAAUACCGGAUGUACACAGGCUGACGCAUGUUGGUGUGUGGAAAGGUUUUUCUGGUGGGGGAUGUGCUCGCGGCCUAUCAGCUUGUUGGUGGGGUAAUGGCCUACCAAGGCUUUGACGGGUAGCCGGCCUGAGAGGGUGACCGGCCACACUGGGACUGAGACACGGCCCAGACUCCUACGGGAGGCAGCAGUGGGGAAUAUUGGACAAUGGGCGGAAGCCUGAUCCAGCAACGCCGCGUGAGGGAUGACGGCCUUCGGGUUGUAAACCUCUUUCACCAUUGACGAAGCUGCAUCUUUUUGGGUGUGGUGACGGUAGGUGGGGAAGAAGCACCGGCCAACUACGUGCCAGCAGCCGCGGUAAUACGUAGGGUGCGAGCGUUGUCCGGAAUUAUUGGGCGUAAAGGGCUCGUAGGCGGUUUGUCGCGUCGGGAGUGAAAACCUUGGGCUUAACUCAGGGCUUGCUUUCGAUACGGGCAGACUAGAGGUAUGCA